GGGGAUAUAGCUCAGUUGGUAGAGUGCUUGCCUAGCAUGCAUAAAGUCCUGGGUUCAAUCCCCAGCACCACCA
rnacentral:tRNA from 1 species